rnacentral:rRNA from 1 species
GCAUAUCAAUAAGCGGAGGAAAAGAAACCAACAGGGAUUGCCUCAGUAACGGCGAGUGAAGCGGCAACAGCUCAAAUUUGAAAUCUGGCUCUCGGGCCCGAGUUGUAAUUUGUAGAGGAUGCUUUUGGUGCGGUGCCUUCCGAGUUCCCUGGAACGGGACGCCAUAGAGGGUGAGAGCCCCGUCUGGUUGGACGCCAAUCCUCUGUAAAGCUCCUUCGACGAGUCGAGUAGUUUGGGAAUGCUGCUCUAAAUGGGAGGUAUAUGUCUUCUAAAGCUAAAUACCGGCCAGAGACCGAUAGCGCACAAGUAGAGUGAUCGAAAGAUGAAAAGAACUUUGAAAAGAGAGUUAAAAAGUACGUGAAAUUGUUGAAAGGGAAGCGCUUGUGACCAGACUUGGGCUUGGUUGAUCAUCCAGGGUUCUCCCUGGUGCACUCUUCCGGCCCAGGCCAGCAUCAGUUCGCCCCGGGGGAAAAAGGCUUCGGGAAUGUGGCUCUCUCCGGGGAGUGUUAUAGCCCGCUGCGUAAUACCCUGUGGCGGACUGAGGUUCGCGCAUUCGCAAGGAUGCUGGCGUAAUGGUCAUCAGUGACCCGUCUUGAAACACGGACCAAGGAGUCGUCUUCGUAUGCGAGUGUUCGGGUGUCAAACCCCUACGCGAAAUGAAAGUGAACGCAGGUGAGAGCUUCGGCGCAUCAUCGACCGAUCCUGAUGUUUUCGGAUGGAUUUGAGUAAGAGCAUACGGGGCCGGACCCGAAAGAAGGUGAACUAUGCCUGUGUAGGGUGAAGCCAGAGGAAACUCUGGUGGAGGCUCGCAGCGGUUCUGACGUGCAAAUCGAUCGUCAAACAUGGGCAUGGGGGGCGAAAGACUAAUCGAACCUUCUAGUAGCUGGUUUCCGCGA